GUGGCUCAGUGGUAGAGGAUUUGCCUGGAAUACAGAAGGGCCCAGGUUCAAGCCCCAGCAUCUCCA
rnacentral:tRNA from 1 species